GACGAACGCUGGCGGCGUGCUUAACACAUGCAAGUCGAGCGGAAAGGCCCUUCGGGGUCCUCGAGCGGCGAACGGGUGAGUAACACGUGAGUAACCUGCCCCAGACUUUGGGAUAACCCUCGGAAACGGGGGCUAAUACCGGAUACGACACAGCUUCGCAUGGGGUCUGUGUGGAAAGUUUUUCGGUUUGGGAUGGGCUCGCGGCCUAUCAGCUUGUUGGUGGGGUGAUGGCCUACCAAGGCGACGACGGGUAGCCGGCCUGAGAGGGCGACCGGCCACACUGGGACUGAGACACGGCCCAGACUCCUACGGGAGGCAGCAGUGGGGAAUAUUGCACAAUGGGCGGAAGCCUGAUGCAGCGACGCCGCGUGAGGAAUGACGGCCUUCGGGUUGUAAACCUCUUUCAGCAGGGACGAAGCGUAAGUGACGGUACCUGCAGAAGAAGCGCCGGCCAACUACGUG
rnacentral:rRNA from 1 species